AACAGAAUGUCAGUCGUUCAGUGUAGAAGUUGGGAGCUAACUGAAUUAUAAAUAAAUUUGAAAAUAUUUAAUUAUUUUAGCUGAAACAUUAUACAGAAUGCAAAGGGAAGAAGUUAAAUAUGUUCAAAGACGAGUACGUCCUGGAAGCAUUGAUGUACACCCAACAGAGAAGGCUUUGAUUGUGACAUACGAAUUAGAAGCUACUGUAGUUGGAGAAUUGGGUGAUACUAUGUUNAAAAACAGA
rnacentral:lncRNA from 1 species